AAGAUGUGAACUUACAGAAACAGGAUAUGCCAGCAGGGUUGACAGCAUGAAUGUCCCCUUCUCUCUCGUGUCAUUAGAACGAGAUGCAGCUGCCAGCUCAGGUGCCUGAUCCCAGAGCAGGACUGAAACAAAGGAGAAGCCCAGACGAGCUCUUGUUUUCCUUCUAAAUAGCUUGGUUUUGGUCUGCUUGUAAGCAAGCUGGGAUUUUGUCAGCUGUCCCCAGUACCCCUCUGAAGGAUUCUUUGUCUGCAGAGCUGCUGGGUGCCUGUCAGGCUGGUGGAGACAGAGGUUGUGUGGGUUUUUUUUUCAUCAUACUAAGCAUUUGUCAGGCUGCUUCUUUAUUGGAACGCUAUGAGGAAUGAUUCCCCAGAAGUCCCAGACUAAACUGGAAUUGUUAGGAACUCGUCAACAUAAAGACUGGGAUUUGGGUCAUAUUUCAGGGUGAGCUAGAAAGACAAGAACUGCACAGGAUGCUGAGAUGCCUCUGAAGGAAAUAUUGGCCUCAACCAAGCUGUCACACUGAAGUGUGUGGAAAGCUGGACUUGGGGCUGCCCAGCUGAACUUGCUAAACCAAGACAGCACCUUUCAACAGCUCCACAGUAACACUGGGUUUGUACGUACAUUUACAGAAUGUAUAGCAUCAUGUUCCAUGUGUUUACCUGUCUGUGCAUCCCUCCAAUCACUUUUGCUCAUUUCAAAUGAAUUUAAUGUAGGAGAAGGAGUUCCUAGGUAUUUUAGAUUAUUGCCAGUUUAUUUGUUAGGUGUGCAUCCAACAAGGAGCUACACAGAACAUGAUAGCUGGACAUGUUGUGAUGGCUCAUUUGUGAGACUGUGCUGCUGCUGUUCACUUGUAUUACCCUCACUCUCCCAUUGCUUACUGCUUUUAAAAGCAGCGUGAAGAGCAGGAGCAGCUGCUGCCAGGAAAGGAAGCUGCAGGAGCCGGAGGGACACACGUGAGGGAGUGCAAAGGCACAGGCUUUCUCUGCUGAUGACCUUGGCUUCUAGCACAUCCCAUGAUUACAGCAACUGCUUCUAGAGCUGGAACACAUGGGAGCUGAAACUACACAUCUUAUUUAGGACUCAGGGAAGGGAAAAAAAUCUGUC